rnacentral:rRNA from 1 species
CCUACGGGGGGCUGCAGUGGGGAAUAUUGCACAAUGGGGGAAACCCUGAUGCAGCGACGCCGCGUGAGUGAGGAAGUAUUUCGGUAUGUAAAGCUCUAUCAGCAGGGAAGAAAAUGACGGUACCUGACUAAGAAGCCCCGGCUAACGACGUGCCAGCAGCCGCGGUAAUACGUAGGGGGCAAGCGUUAUCCGGAUUUACUGGGUGUAAAGGGAGCGUAGACGGCUAAUCAAGUCAGAAGUGAAAACCCAGGGCUCAACCUUGGGACUGCUUUUGAAACUGCGUAGCUAGAGUGCAGGAGAGGUAAGCGGCAUUCCUCGUGUCGCGGUGUCAUGCGUCGAUAUUAGGAGGAACCCCAGUGGCGACGGCGGCUUACUGGACUGUACCUGCCGUUGAGGCUCGACAGCGUGGGGAGCAAACAGGAUUAGAUACCCGUGUAGUC